rnacentral:rRNA from 1 species
GUAGGUGGCAAGCGUUGUUCGGAAUCACUGGGCGUAAAGCGCGUGUAGGCGGUCCGGUCCAGUCAGGUGUGAAAUCCCUAGGCUCAACCGAGGAACUGCAUCUGAUACUGCCGAGCUUGAGUUCGGGAGGGGAGAGCGGAAUUCUUGGUGUAGCGGUGAAAUGCGUAGAUAUCAGGAGGAACGCCAAUGGCGAAAGCGGCUCUCUGGCGGGUUCCUGACGCUGAGGCGCGAAAGCUAGGGGAGCAAACGGGAUUAGAUACCCCGGUAGUCCUAGCCCUAAACGAUGCGCACUAAGUGGGGGAGACUCUGACAGCCAUCCCUGCCGCAGGGAAACCGUUAAGUGUGCCGCCUGGGAAGUACGGUCGCAAGGCUA